UUGAAURRRCUUGGUUGGGUUGUUGCUGGCUCUCAGGAGCAUGUGCACGCUCGGUCAAAUUUUAACCACCUGUGCACACACUGUAGGCCUGAAUGAMCUUUGUCCAGGAAAAAAGAAACUCGGUUUGAGAACUGCUGAGCUGUUCUUGCAUUUCAGGUCUAUGUUUCAAACAUAUACUCCAUAUACAAGUGAUAGAACGUUAAUUAUUGGCCUUCUUGUGCCUUUAAACCUAAAUACAACUUUCAACAACGGAUCUCUUGGCUCUCGCAUCGAUGAAGAACGCAGCGAAAUGCGAUAAGUAAUGUGAAUUGCAGAAUUCAGUGAAUCAUCGAAUCUUUGAACGCACCUUGCGCUCCUUGGUAUUCCGAGGAGCAUGCCUGUUUGAGUGUCAUGAAAUUCUCAACCUUUCUGGCUUUUUAUGAGCUGGUCAGGCUUGGAUUGUGGAAGUUGCUGGCUUCUUUUUGAGAUCAGCUCUUCUUAAAUGUAUUAGCAAAAUUCUUGCUGGACCAUCUUUGGUAUGAUAAUUAUCUAUACCAUUGAGAUCACAGCUUCCACUUCAGCGGAUUUCAGGCUCUGCUUGGAUUUAUUUCCAAGUGUUCGAUUCAACCGCUCUGAAGCACCAGCCUAGGCACAGACAUUAACUUGUUUGAUGGUGUUGAAUACUUCAGGUUGACGAAGCGAGGUGCUUCCUYAGGGAAGUGCUCACGAGAGCAAGCAGUGUCAGAGCAUCAUCRAGAUGUACUGAUAUGUGCACUGUCAUAUUCCUGUACCUACCCUAGCUACUAUGUGGCUUUGAUGGGUUUGGUCAAACCAUGACCUGAACAUAUCCUUAGUGGGAGGAUCUUGCUUCUAAUAUUGUUCCUAGGAACAAAUCUUUUGACAAU
rnacentral:misc_RNA from 1 species